GUCGGUGCCGGGGUUGCCGCUAACGUUAUCGCCCCACUCCUCAACCAGGGAAUCGGUGCUAUUGGAGAUGCCCUUGGCGGGCUCUUUGGAAAGCGUGACUUGGCUGACAUCGAAGCUCGUAUUGCCCCAGUUGUCGCCGCCGUCGGUGCCGGAGUUGCCGCUAACGUCAUCGCCCCACUCCUCAACCAGGGAAUUGGUGCUAUUGGAGAUGCCCUCGGUGGCCUCUUCGGAAAGCGUGAUGUUGAUCCUCGUAUCGCCCCAGUUGUCGUAGCUGUCGGUACCGG